rnacentral:rRNA from 1 species
UACGUAGGGUGCGAGCGUUGUCCGGAAUUAUUGGGCGUAAAGAGCUCGUAGGCGGUUUGUCGCGUCUGCUGUGAAAUCCCGAGGCUCAACCUCGGGCUUGCAGUGGGUACGGGCAGACUAGAGUGCGGUAGGGGAGAUUGGAAUUCCUGGUGUAGCGGUGGAAUGCGCAGAUAUCAGGAGGAACACCGAUGGCGAAGGCAGAUCUCUGGGCCGUAACUGACGCUGAGGAGCGAAAGCGUGGGGAGCGAACAGG